CGGCCGGGGGGGGGGCUUACACUGGCAGUCGAACGGAGUGCCUCGGCAAGAGAUUUCGGUCAAUGGAAGAGGAUACUUUAAGGCGGACGGGUGAGUAACGCGUGAGGAACCUACCCCUUACAGGGGGACAACAGUUGGAAACGACUGCUAAUACCGCAUAAUAUAUCUGUAUCGCAUGGUAUGGAUAUCAAACAUUUAUCGCUGAGAGAUGGCCUCGCGUCUGAUUAGCUAGUUGGUAGGGUAACGGCCUACCAAGGCAACGAUCAGUAGCCGGACUGAGAGGUUGGCCGGCCACAUUGGGACUGAGAUACGGCCCAGACUCCUACGGGAGGCAGCAGUGGGGAAUAUUGGGCAAUGGGCGCAAGCCUGACCCAGCAACGCCGCGUGAAGGAAGAAGGCUUUCGGGUUGUAAACUUCUUUUAAGAGGGAAGAGCAGAAGACGGUACCUCUUGAAUAACCCACGGCUAACUACGUGCCAGCAGCCGCGGUAAUACGUAGGUGGCAAGCGUUGUCCGGAUUUACUGGGUGUAAAGGGCGUGCAGCCGGGAGUGCAAGUCAGGUGUGAAAUCCCGCGGCUCACCCGCGGAACUGCAUUUGAAACUGUGCUUCUUGAGUGCUGGAGAGGCAGACGGAAUUCCUAGUGUAGCGGUGAUAUGCGUAUAUAUUAGGAGGAACACCAGUGGCGAAGGCGGUCUGCUGGACAGUAACUGACGGUGAGGCGCGAAAGCGUGGGGAGCAAACAGGAUUAUA
rnacentral:rRNA from 1 species